AAUAGUGUGAUUCUUUUAUUUUGUACAGUACUCCACUAUAUUUGGCAUGUUACUGUAGCGACAGUAAAAUUAAAUAUAUAC
rnacentral:sRNA from 1 species